ACUCUCGGCAACGGAUAUCUCGGCUCUCGCAUCGAUGAAGAACGUAGCAAAAUGCGAUACCUGGUGUGAAUUGCAGAAUCUCGCGAACCAUCGAGUUUUUGAACGCAAGUUGCGCCCGAAGCCUUCUGGCGGAGGGCACGUCUGCCUGGGCGUCACGCCAAAAGACACUCCCAACACCCCCCCGCGGGGCGAGGGACGUGGCGUCUGGCCCCCCGCGCCGCAGGGCGAGGUGGGCCGAAGCAGGGGCUGCCGGCGAACCACGCCGGGCGCAGCACGUGGUGGGCGACAUCAAGUUGUUCUCGGUGCAGCGUCCUGGCGCGCGGCCGGCCAUUCGGCCCUAAGGACCCAUCGAGCGACCGAGCUUGCCCUCGGACCGCGACCCCAGGUCAGUCGGGACUACCCGCUGAGUUUAAGCAUAUAAAUAAGCGGAGGAGAAGAAACUUACAAGGAUUCCCCUAGUAACGGCGAGCGAACCGGGAGCAGCCCAGCUUGAGAAUCGGGUGGCCUCGCCGCCCGAAUUGUAGUCUGGAGAGGCGUCCUCAGCGACGGACCGGGCCCAAGUUCUCUGGAAAGGGACGCCUGGGAGGGUGAGAGCCCCGUCCGGCCCGGACCCUGUCGCACCACGAGGCGCCGUCAACGAGUCGGGUUGUUUGGGAAUGCAGCCCAAAUCGGGCGGUAAACUCCAUCCAAGGCUAAAUACAGGCGAGAGACCGAUAGCGAACAAGUACCGCGAGGGAAAGAUGAAAAGGACUUUGAAAAGAGAGUCAAAGAGUGCUUGAAAUUGCCGGGAGGGAAGCGGAUGGGGGCUGGCGACGCGCCCCGGCCGUAUGCGGAAUGGCUCCUGCUGGUCCGCCGAUCGGCUCGGGGCGUGGACCGUUGUCGCCCGCGCCGGCGGCCAAAGCCCAGGGGCCCUAGGCGCCCCCUGCAGCCGUCGUCGGCGCGGACGGUAUCCGCGCGCCUCUGGCGCGCCCCUCGGGGCGCUGCGCCGCAACGGCCUGCGAGCUCCCCAUCCGACCCGUCUUGAAACACGGACCAAGGAGUCUGACAUGUGUGCGAGUCGACGGGUUCAGAAACCUGAGAUGCGCAAGGAAGCUGACGAGCGGGAGGCCCUCACGGGCCGCACCGCUGGCCGACCCUGAUCUUCUGUGAAGGGUUCGAGUUGGAGCACGCAUGUCGGGACCCGAAAGAUGGUGAACUAUGACUGAGCGGGGCGAAGCCAGAGGAAACUCUGGUGGAGGCUCGAAGCGAUACUGACGUGCAAAUCGUUCGUCUGACUUGGGUAUAGGGGCGAAAGACUAAUCGAACCAUAUAGUAGCUGGUUCCAUCCGAAGUUUCCCUCAGGAUAGCUGGAGCCCACACGAGUUCUAUCGGGUAAAGCCAAUGAUUAGAGGCAUCGGGGGCGCAACGCCCUCGACCUAUUCUCAAACUUUAAAUAGGUAGGACGGCGCGGCUGCUUCGGUGAGCCGUGCCACGGAAUCGGGAGCUCCAAGUGGGCCAUUUUUGGUAAGCAGAACUGGCGAUGCGGGAUGAACCGGAAGCCGGGUUACGGUGCCAAACUGCGCGCUAACCUAGAACCCACAAAGGGUGUUGGUCGAUUAAGACAGCAGGACGGUGGUCAUGGAAGUCGAAAUCCGCUAAGGAGUGUGUAACAACUCACCUGCCGAAUCAACUAGCCCCGAAAAUGGAUGGCGCUGAAGCGCGUGACCCACACCCGGCCAUCUGGGUGAGCGACAUGCCCCGAUGAGUAGGAGGGCGCGGCGGACGCCGCAAAACCCGGGGCGCGAGCCCGGGCGGAGCGGCCGUCGGUGCAGAUCUUGGUGGUAGUAGCAAAUAUUCAAAUGAGAACUUUGAAGGCCGAAGAGGAGAAAGGUUCCAUGUGAACGGCACUUGCACAUGGGUAAGCCGAUCCUAAGGGACGGGGGAAACCCGGCAGAUAGCGCGAUCACGCGCGUCACCCGAAAGGGAAUCGGGUUAAGAUUUCCCGAGCCGGGACGUGGCGGCAGACGGCGACGUUAGGAAGUCCGGAGACGCCGGCGGGGGCCUCGGGAAGAGUUAUCUUUUCUGCUUAACGGCCCGCCAACCCUGGAAUCAGUUCAGCCGGAGGUAGGGUUCAGCGGCCGGAAGAGCACCGCACAUCGCGCGGUGUCCGGUGCGCCCCCGACGGCCCUUGAAAAUCCGGAGGACCGAAUACCGUCCACGCCCGGUCGUACUCAUAACCGCAUUAGGUCUCCAAGGUGAACAGCCUCUGGCCAAUGGAACAAUGUAGGCAAGGGAAGUCGGCAAAACGGAUCCGUAACUUCGGGAAAAGGAUUGGCUCUGAGGGUUGGGCUCGGGGGUCCCGGCCCCGAACCCGUCGGCUGCUGGCGGAAUGCUCGAGCUGCUCGCGCGGCGAGAGCGGGCCGCCGCGUGCAGGCCGGCGGACGGACCGGGAACGGCCCCCUCGGGGGCCUUCCCUGUAACACCCGGAUUUUAGGGGUCCAAAACCCGGGGUUAACAUAAACACCAGGUAUGCUGGGACCAAGUCUCAUACAUAUGAUGUAUAGUGGCACAGGAUCGAAUGUCACAACUUUAUAUAUAACAGGAGUUCUAUACAAAAUAAAUAAUUACAUUAUAAGGAGACAACGGUCCAGCAACCCAAAGUUGACUGGGAGACGACGACCUAGACCUCUCACGAUCUCAUCACAGCAUCCUCCAUGAGCAUCAUCCUGCAGUACCUAGUCCUGACCUGUGGUGUAUGUGAGACAGCAAGAGUGAGCUCACAUACGUUCAUCGCUCAACAAGUUGUGGGGAAUAAUGUGCAUGAACUCACCAAAGGUGGGAGCUCAUAAAGUGUAAGGCUUACCAAAGAAGAUGGUUAGAGCUGAGCAUUGCUUUUAAAGUUGGUCAAAAUUUUAUUAGCAGUUACUAAGUAUAAGUAAAUACCAAACCCAAUUAAGUAAUAGAACAAAAGUAUCAAUAUCACCUGCAAUGCAAUGCAUAUGACAAAUUGAAUUUAAGUUCCAUAAUUUAAUCAUGUGAGGGUCCGAGCUGCUCAUGACCGUGAGCACGGCUAGUAUACCAGUUUUACACUCUGCAGAGGUUGUACCCUUUACCCACAAGUCGUGUUACCCAUCUGCCAAGGGGUCAUGAAUCCCAUACACCUCUACCAAGGAAGCGAGGCAGGGUAACACUACGAGGCCUUUACAAAGUUCCACUAGCUUCCGAAAACCCACUACAGUUUAUAGGAAGAUCCAGUGCAGGAAUCCCUUGCAGGACCGCCAUC
rnacentral:rRNA from 1 species